AUAAAACACUUUUCAUAGUAUAUAGUAUAAGGAACAUUUUGUACGUUGUCAUCUCUUUUGAUGAGCUGACUAUGUGUAUGAGCUGAAUAGAGUAUGGACGUUAAUCGAGAAGCCUCAUGUAACCAAUUUAACAAAGAGCAAGGAUGACGCUACAUUAGAGACCAAAUUACUGUUUUUUCAUCUUGGAAACCUUGUAGAGAUGAUACUCUCCUAUGAAGUGUGGCGAUCGCCACGACCACCCAAUUCGUUUUUUUUGUGAAGUUCUAGAACAAGAGGGCCUAAAAGCAACCAGUGAAGUUCAAAAUACAGAAAUGAGAGUAGAGUUCAGAUCAUUCCUGUCUACAAAGUAAUGUUGCUAGGAGCAGCGAAUCCAGAGUGGUUCAUCUCUAAACCGACUUCACCACUAGAGGAGCAAUCUUUGUUGGAAAUACAAGCUGAAGAGAUAGGUGAGAGGCAGUUUGUAUCAACAGUCGAGGAGUCUGAUGUGUUCUUUAUCGGUAAGAAGAAGGUUGCUGGUGCAGGGUCAACAGAAGCUAAGGUACUCUUCCAUAGCUUUCAUUUCCUUCUACUUUGAGGACAAAGUACUUCUUCAAAGAGGGAGUAAUGAUACGUACCCAAAUAAAGUUAUUGGGCCUUGUUAUCUUGUUAUUGGGUUGCUAUUGUAUUAGCAUCUUAAGCCUUUUAAUUUCUGGAUUUAGUACUCUUUCGCUUACGAGAAAGGUGGUCGAAAGAUCAAUUAAAAAAUCGACAAUCAUCUUCUUCCUCAAUUUCUUCUGAUUUUUCAUCUCUUUCUUCUACUUCUCACCUAAUUUAUGUUACUUUCUUGAUAGAACUGAAUCGGGUUCUAUCAGGUGACAUCCCUAGAAGCGAU
rnacentral:sRNA from 1 species